GGCGUCCAAGUACAAUAGGCCGUCAGUGGGACAUCAUAGAGGGUGACAAUCCCGUCCUUGAUGCCAAUGUGCAAGUCCAUUACGAUGGCUAUCUCAGAGAGUCGAGCAGUUUGGGAUUUGCUGCUUAAACAUGGGAGGUAGAUUCCUUCUAAAGCUAAAUACAGGCGAGAGACCGAUAGAGAACAAGUACCGCAAGGGAAAGAUGAAAUAGCACUCUGUGAAGGGAGUCAAAAGGCGUGAAAUUGUUGCGAGAGAAGCGAUUCAAGUCAGCGUAGCUAGGCCCAUCAAGCCUUUUUGCUUUGGACUAGCUUUGCCAGCGGUCUUGUCCCUUAAAAGGGACUUGACUUGUAAUGUGUCCAGCCUGGCGUGCACAGGCAGCCCCUUCUGGGGGCCAGUGGCAUGGCUGGUGGAAUGGCUUGCAAUCGACCCGUCUUGAAACACGGACCAAGGAGUCUAACAUGUAUGCGAGUAUAAGGGUGGCAAACCCGUAUGCGCAAUGAAAGUGAUUUUCGAUGAUUGAGAAUGGCCUGAUGACCAGACAAGCAAUACAUGUCCCUCGUACGGCCAUUGCCCAAGUUCCGUGGUAGAUCCCACGAACAUGGAGUUGGAGCAUACAUGCUAGGACCCGAAAGAUGGUGAACUAUGCCUGGACAAAGCGAAGCCAAAGGAAACUCUGGUGGAGGCUUGUAGCGAUUCUGACGUGCAAAUCGAUCGUCUGAUCUGGGUAUAGGGGCGAAAGA
rnacentral:rRNA from 1 species